ACCUGCCAGACCGCGCAGACCGCAGCUCUGAGCGCCGUGCAUUUGAGGAAGGAAGGGGCAACCAUCGGGCGCGUGCCCGUAAAUUUGCACCCCGAGACGGUUGCCGUUCGCUUCUUGCAUGGCGCGGGAUUUGGCACCUGCCCGCGCUUCAUGGUCAUCCGUCAAGCGGCUUGCGGGUGCCGCAUGAAGCCGUUCGGGGUGCCUCCCAUGAACUCUGAUGAG
rnacentral:sRNA from 1 species